GACGAACGCUGGCGGCGUGCUUAACACAUGCAAGUCGAGCGGAGCGGCGAACGGGUGAGUAACGCGUGAAUAACUGCCCACCUCGAUGGGAGAACAGUUGGAAACGGCUGCUAAUACAGGAAAGUGGGGGAUGACUCGCGUCCUAUCAGCUUGUUGGUGGGGUAGUGGCCUACCAAGGCCACGACGGGGAGACGGCCUGAGAGGGUGACCGGCAAAAUGGUGCUGAGAUACGGCCCAAACUCCUACGGGAGGCAGCAGUGGGGAAUAUUGCACAAGGGGGGAAACCCUGAUGCAGCAACGCCGCGUGCGGGAUGACGGCCUUCGGGUUGUAAACCGCUUUCAGCCAUGACGCGGUAGUGGCAGAAGAAGCACCGGCUAACUACGUGCCAGCAGCCGCGGUAAUAC
rnacentral:rRNA from 1 species